rnacentral:sRNA from 1 species
GUGGGGUUCGGGAUGAAAUGGUUGACCACACCGCCCAUCACCGCGAAGGUGCGUUUGCCCUCGGUGAGCAUCUGUACCCCACGGCGUUUGAACUCCUU